AUACAUAUGCUUUCUGAUACAAAAGCAUGCCAUUGAAUAAUGCCACCAAGCUCUCCCACAGCACAAGUAUGAGCUCUCUGCAAGCAUCACAGCUCUGCUUAGACAAAACUGAAUUUCAGCUUGUGGCUCUGCAUCAAAGGUCACAGGGGGGCAUUGCCUUCAACGCUCACUCCAAUGUCCACAAUGAAAAACCCACACUGAUGAUCCAUGUUUGAGUAAGAGGAUCCCUGUCACUAACUUAAGCCAUAAUGAUGCACAUAGCACCCCUCAAUUUUGUUUUGUAGUCAACAAGUCUCUCUAUUUGCUCAGCAAACUGAUCCUCCUCUGCUUUAUUAUAACCACACAGGCUCAGUGAUUCAA